GCGGGGACGGGCGCAGUUGGGGUAGCUGCGCAGCGACAUCCCCAGCCCUGAGGAGCGGGGGAGGGGAGAAGGUUCCUCCACCCCGUUGUUAAUUUGCAUAGGGGGGGUGUUUUUGGGGUGAGGGAAGCCCUGGGUGCGUAACUCCCCCGCUCCUGCAGCCCUGUUACUACGUGACACUCUCCCUUUUCUUCAAACAUUUCUGAGCAUCACGGUUAAAGAGAAAAGCUGCGAAGUUGGCUCAGCAAUUCGAAUUUUCACACCAGUGUACAAAAAAGGUGGUAGAGGGAAUCCAGAUUGGAUGGCCAGAGAAAAGGAGAGAAGCAAUAGAGGCAGAGACUUUGAAAUUCAGUCUUGAAUUCAGAUUGAUAUCUGAUAACUUUGGGAGGACAUUUGGACAAAAUGGGCAUUCUGUGAAUCAGGGUGGGAAGCAUGGACUACAGCAUUAAAAUGCUUGCUGCAAAAGUGGUCAAGUGGACAAUAAAGGAUGACUCUAGUGGAAUAAAGAAAUGGGUGGCUGAUACAUUUGAACAGCAAUUUGAGAAGAGCAUUUGAAUUGCAAUACUGGAAUGUCUUCAGAAGAGAGAUUCUCAGUGCAAAAAUGUAGUACUUCUAUUAAAAAUGAUGGUCAAUUCAGUAUGUAGUUAAACUAAGAAAAGAAUGCACUGUAUUAUCCAGCAUCUGUAAUAAAUGAAGGACACGGAUACUGUAUUUAUCAGUGUAAGUUUUGCUGGUAUGCUUUUUCAAAAAUGUCAGGAAAGACUGAGCAAAAUGUUUUCAGAUAGCCAGGCCAAAGAUACUGAAAAUCAGAAUGCAGAGUUCCUGCCUGAUGAGACAAACUCCAUGCAUAUCUCAUCAAAUUCUGCCCUGACAGAAGUUAAUGGGAGCAAUGUGAACUAAUGUGAGGGCAUAAUUUGGCCCCAAGUGUCUAAUAACAUUAGGCUAAAUCUGUAAAACACAAAAUUCAAUGAGACUAAAUUACUGCUGUGGCUAGAUUUCAGAAGUGCCAUUAAUAAGCUCUGAAUGUUUGGUUCUUCUCCCUUUUAUUUCUCUCCUCCUUGUACUCGAAUGUCCUCCAGUUUUAGGAUAAAGGGCCUCAUUGUCUCAACACUUUGCACCAUUCUGGCACCAAAAUGUCGGCAAGUGAUUGGGAGUACUACAGUGGAGGUUCCUCUUGAUACUCAGGUCCGGUAUGCACUAUAGUGUGAGGUCAAAAUAAGUCAUGUUAGCUCAAUUUAAUAAUGUAUGUAUCCACAUUACCAAGCCCCUUCCACUGACCUAAAGGGCUUUUAAAACUAGUUCCUGUGCUCAACCGCCAUAAGAGACAUAGAGCUAGAAUUGAUUAUCCUGAGUCAAUUUAGGAGUAAUGUAGACCUAGCGCUGUGUAAUUCAGAGGGAUUGGCCUCCAGGAAGUGUCCCUAAGUGUUCUGUUGUGACUUUCAUAGAAUCCUAAAA